rnacentral:lncRNA from 1 species
GAGAAAUGCUGUUUUUAACUACAGACUGUAACGCCAUCAGAGAUGUCCCACAGGAUGUGUGCUCCAACGAGCCCUACAGACUGUUAUUAACCCUUAAUAACACCAGCAUUUAACCUCUGCAGUCCAUUCAGUCUGUGUUUCACCAUGUUUUUCAGGGAAUCAACUCCACACCAACUUAACACAAGUGACCCACGGCAUUCGGACAUCAGUGAAUCAAAAUCAGACCAACUCCACAGCAGUGACCCAAAGAAUCCGUACAUCAGCCCCUCGUCCUGAUUGGCUGUUGUACACCAUUCCUUCCAUUGCCUUUGUGAUCGGACUCCUGUUAUUCAUAACUGUGUGCAACAAACUGCGCCCCAGGGAGUCAGCAAGAGUCAGAAAGGUUUCAGCUAUAAAGACAAUAGAAAACAGAACCACAUCAGAACCCAAUAACAUAUGUUCUGGAUCCAUUGUAGCUGAUCCGAAAACAGAAUCCAGCCUCAAAAAACAAGAGGCCCAGUCUUAUGAGAAUGUUUCUGCAGCCAUCUACAAUAAUCAGGAUGAAGUGACUUACUAUGUAACCCAGGAUGAUGACUACAUCACCCCUGAUGCAAUGGAAGAUUACAUGACAAUGCAAGAGCAAAACCAGAGCAACCACCUUCAACCACCUCACAACACAACAGAUACAGGUAAAUGUUAAUCAUUUAAAAUAUAUCAUGGCACUUUUUAUGUAUAUAGUUUAAUUUGCUAAUACAUUA